GUUGAGACAUCAGAUUCCGUACGAUCAACGAAGUUAAAUAACGUCAAGCCUGGUUAAUACCUAGAUGUGUGACCACUUGGGAAUACCAGGUGAUGUUA